rnacentral:rRNA from 1 species
AUACGGAGGGUGCGAGCGUUAAUCGGAAUUACUGGGCGUAAAGCGUACGUAGGCGGUUUAUUAAGUCAGAUGUGAAAGCCCCGGGCUUAACCUGGGAACUGCAUUUGAAACUAGUAGACUAGAGUAUGGUAGAGGGGGGUAGAAUUCCUAGUGUAGCGGUGAAAUGCGUAGAUAUUAGGAGGAAUACCAGUGGCGAAGGCGGCCCCCUGGACCAAUACUGACGCUGAGGUACGAAAGCGUGGGGAGCGAACAGGAUUAGAAACCCCGGUAGUCC